rnacentral:rRNA from 1 species
GUGGGGAAUCUUGCGCAAUGGGCGAAAGCCUGACGCAGCCAUGCCGCGUGAAUGAUGAAGGUCUUAGGAUUGUAAAAUUCUUUCACCGGGGACGAUAAUGACGGUACCCGGAGAAGAAGCUCCGGCUAACUUCGUGCCAGCAGCCGCGGUAAUACGAAGGGGGCUAGCGUUGCUCGGAAUUACUGGGCGUAAAGGGCGCGUAGGCGGACAGCUUAGUCAGAGGUGAAAGCCCAGGGCUCAACCUUGGAAUUGCCUUUGAUACUGGCUGUCUUGAGUUUGGGAGAGGUGAGUGGAACUCCGAGUGUAGAGGUGAAAUUCGUAGAUAUUCGGAAGAACACCAGUGGCGAAGGCGGCUUCCUGGACAGUAACUGACGCUGAGACGCGAAAGCGUGGGGAGCAAACAGGAUUAGAUACCCCAGUAGUCC